GGUUAAGUUAGAAAGGGCGCACGGUGGAUGCCUUGGCACUAGGAGCCGAAGAAGGACGGGACUAACACCGAUAUGCUUUGGGGAGCUGUACGUAAGCGUUGAUCCAGAGAUUUCCGAAUGGGGGAACCCACUAUCUUUAGUCGGAUAGUAUCCUUACGUGAAUACAUAGCGUGAGGAAGGCAGACCCAGGGAACUGAAACAUCUAAGUACCUGGAGGAAGAGAAAGAAAAAUCGAUUUCCUGAGUAGCGGCGAGCGAAACGGAAAGAGCCCAAACCAAGAAGCUUGCUUCUUGGGGUUGUAGGACACUCUAUACGGAGUUACAAAAGAAAGUUAUAAAUGAAGCGGUCUGGAAAGGCCCGCCAAAGACGGUAACAGCCCGGUAGUUGAAAUGGCUUUCCCUCCAGAGUGGAUCCUGAGUACGGCGGAACACGUGAAAUUCCGUCGGAAUCCGGGAGGACCAUCUCCCAAGGCUAAAUACUCCCUAGUGACCGAUAGUGAACCAGUACCGUGAGGGAAAGGUGAAAAGCACCCCGGAAGGGGAGUGAAACAGUUCCUGAAACCGUGUGCCUACAAGUAGUUAGAGCCCGUUAAUGGGUGAUAGCGUGCCUUUUGUAGAAUGAACCGGCGAGUUACGAUUUGUUGCAAGGUUAAGCGGAAAAAGCGGAGCCGUAGCGAAAGCGAGUCUGAAUAGGGCGCAUAAGUAACAGGUCGUAGACCCGAAACCAGGUGAUCUACCCAUGUCCAGGAUGAAGGUAAGGUAAUACUUACUGGAGGUCCGAACCCACGCACGUUGAAAAGUGCGGGGAUGAGGUGUGGGUAGCGGAGAAAUUCCAAUCGAACUUGGAGAUAGCUGGUUCUCUCCGAAAUAGCUUUAGGGCUAGCCUCGAGGUAAAGAGUCAUGGAGGUAGAGCACUGUUUGGACUAGGGGCCCUUCUCGGGUUACCGAAUUCAGAUAAACUCCGAAUGCCAUGUACUUAUACUCGGGAGUCAGACUGCGAGUGAUAAGAUCCGUAGUCGAAAGGGAAACAGCCCAGACCACCAGUUAAGGUCCCCAAAUAUAUGUUAAGUGGAAAAGGAUGUGGGGUUGCUUAGACAACCAGGAUGUUGGCUUAGAAGCAGCCACCAUUGAAAGAGUGCGUAAUAGCUCACUGGUCGAGUGACCCCGCGCCGAAAAUGUACCGGGGCUAAACAUAUUACCGAAACUGUGGAUGAACCUCUUU
rnacentral:rRNA from 1 species